rnacentral:rRNA from 1 species
AUUGAACGCUGGCGGCAGGCCUAACACAUGCAAGUCGAGCGGAUGAAGGGAGCUUGCUCCUGGAUUCAGCGGCGGACGGGUGAGUAAUGCCUAGGAAUCUGCCUGGUAGUGGGGGAUAACGUCCGGAAACGGGCGCUAAUACCGCAUACGUCCUGAGGGAGAAAGUGGGGGAUCUUCGGACCUCACGCUAUCAGAUGAGCCUAGGUCGGAUUAGCUAGUUGGUGGGGUAAAGGCCUACCAAGGCGACGAUCCGUAACUGGUCUGAGAGGAUGAUCAGUCACACUGGAACUGAGACACGGUCCAGACUCCUACGGGAGGCAGCAGUGGGGAAUAUUGCACAAUGGGCGAAAGCCUGAUCCAGCCAUGCCGCGUGUGUGAAGAAGGUCUUCGGAUUGUAAAGCACUUUAAGUUGGGAGGAAGGGCAGUAAGUUAAUACCUUGCUGUUUUGACGUUACCAACAGAAUAAGCACCGGCUAACUCCGUG